GUAGAAAUGCUGUGAAUGCUGCAGGGCAGAAGAGUGCUGGAGCUGCAGUGUGUUUUCUCUGUGUUUGUGAAUGUGUUGUGUUUGUCUCCUGCAGCUGGUCCCACAGUGAAGCCCUCAGUGUCUCUGCUGCCGCCCUCUUCUCUGCAGAUCUCUGGAGACUCAGCCGCACUGCUCUGCCUGCUCAGCUCUUACUCUCCACAGGGGGCGCUGGUGAGCUGGACACUGGACGGCUCAGAGGUCACCGAGGGGGUUGUGACCAGCGCAGAGAGCGAGCAGGACGGCCGCUACAGCCGCAGUAGCGUCCUGACCCUCAGCAAAGCACGCUGGGAAGAGGGAGAGCUGUACGUCUGCAGAGAAACCACUUCAAGUACAUUUAGUGCAAUUUAA